rnacentral:rRNA from 1 species
AGAGCGAACGCUGGCGGCAGGCUUAACACAUGCAAGUCGAGCGGGCGUAGCAAUACGUCAGCGGCAGACGGGUGAGUAACGCGUGGGAACGUACCUUUUGGUUCGGAACAACACAGGGAAACUUGUGCUAAUACCGGAUAAGCCCUUACGGGGAAAGAUUUAUCGCCAAAAAGAUCGGCCCGCGUCUGAUUAGCUAGUUGGUGAGGUAACGGCCCACCAAGGCGAAGAUCGGUAGCCGGCCUGAGAGGCGCACGGCCACACUGGAACUGAAACACGGUCCAGACUCCUACGGGAGGCAGCAGUGGGGAAUUUUGCGCAAUGGGGAAACCCUGACGCAGCAACGCCGCGUGGAGGAUGAAGCCCCUUGGGGUGUAAACUCCUUUCGACCAAGACGAUAAUGACGGUACUGGUGGAAGAGCACCGGCUAACUCUGUGCCAGCAGCCGC